GACGAACGCUGGCGGCGUGCUUAACACAUGCAAGUCGAACGAAGAGCGAUGGAAGCUUGCUUCUAUCAAUCUUAGUGGCGAACGGGUGAGUAACGCGUAAUCAACCUGCCCUUCAGAGGGGGACAACAGUUGGAAACGACUGCUAAUACCGCAUACGAUCUAAUCUCGGCAUCGAGGAUAGAUGAAAGGUGGCCUCUACAUGUAAGCUAUCACUGAAGGAGGGGAUUGCGUCUGAUUAGCUAGUUGGAGGGGUAGCGGCCCACCAAGGCGAUGAUCAGUAGCCGGUCUGAGAGGAUGAACGGCCACAUUGGGACUGAGACACGGCCCAGACUCCUACGGGAGGCAGCAGUGGGGAAUCUUCCGCAAUGGACGAAAGUCUGACGGAGCAACGCCGCGUGAGUGAUGACGGCCUUCGGGUUGUAAAGCUCUGUUAAUCGGGACGAAAGGCCUUCUUGCGAACAGUUAGAAGGAUUGACGGUACCGGAAUAGAAAGCCACGGCUAACUACGUG
rnacentral:rRNA from 1 species